UACGAAGGGGGCUAGCGUUGCUCGGAAUCACUGGGCGUAAAGGGUGCGUAGGCGGGUCUUUUAAGUCAGGGGUGAAAUCCUGGAGCUCAACUCCAGAACUGCCUUUGAUACUGAAGAUCUUGAGUUCGGGAGAGGUGAGUGGAACUGCGAGUGUAGAGGUGAAAUUCGUAGAUAUUCGCAAGAACACCGGUGGCGAAGGCGGGUCUCUGGGCCGAUACUGACGCUGAGGAGCGAAAGCGUGGGGAGCAAACAGG
rnacentral:rRNA from 1 species